CCUACGGGUGGCUGCAGUCGAGAAUUUUUCUCAAUGGGCGCAAGCCUGAAGGAGCGACGCCGCGUGGAGGAUGACGGUCUUCGGAUUGUAAACUCCUGUCAUUAGGGAACAAAGCUUCCGGUUAACUGCCGUGGAGUCUGAUAGUACCUGAAGAGGAAGAGACGGCUAACUCUGUGCCAGCAGCCGCGGUAAUACAGAGGUCUCAAGCGUUGUUCGGAUUCAUUGGGCGUAAAGGGUGCGUAGGUGGCAAGGUAAGUCGGGUGUGAAAUCCCGGG
rnacentral:rRNA from 1 species